rnacentral:rRNA from 1 species
GAUGAACGCUGGCGGCGUGCCUAAUACAUGCAAGUCGAGCGAACGGACGAGAAGCUUGCUUCUUUGACGUUAGCGGCGCACGGGUGAGUAACAUGUGGAUAACCCACCUAUAAGACUGGUAUAACUUCGGGAAACCGGAGCUAAUACCGGAUAAUAUUUUGAACCGCAUGGUUCAAAAGUGAAAGACGGCCUUGCUGUCACUUAUAGAUGGAUCCGCGCUGCAUUAGCUAGUUGGUAAGGUAACGGCUUACCAAGGCAACGAUGCAUAGCCGACCUGAGAGGGUGAUCGGCCACACUGGAACUGAGACACGGUCCAGACUCCUACGGGAGGCAGCAGUAGGGAAUCUUCCGCAAUGGGCGAGAGCCUGACGGAGCAACGCCGCGUGAGUGAUGAAGGUCUUCGGAUCGUAAAACUCUGUUAUUGGGGAAGAACAUAUGUGUAAGUAACUGUGCACUUAUUGACGGUACCUAAUCAGGAAGCAACGGCUAACUACGUG